UACGUAGGGCGCAAGCGUUGUCCGGAAUUAUUGGGCGUAAAGGGCUCGUAGGCGGUCCGUCACGUCGGGAGUGAAAACUCAGGGCUCAACCCUGAGCGUGCUUCCGAUACGGGCGGACUAGAGGUAUGCAGGGGAGAACGGAAUUCCUGGUGUAGCGGUGGAAUGCGCAGAUAUCAGGAGGAACACCGGUGGCGAAGGCGGUUCUCUGGGCAUUACCUGACGCUGAGGAGCGAAAGCUAGGGGAGCAAACGGG
rnacentral:rRNA from 1 species